GAAGAGAAGCUUGCUUUUCUGAUCUAGUGGCGGACGGGUGAGUAACACGUGAGCAAUCUGCCUUUCAGAGGGGGAUACCGAUUGGAAACGAUCGUUAAUACCGCAUAACAUAAUUGAACCGCAUGAUUUGAUUAUCAAAGAUUUAUCGCUGAAAGAUGAGCUCGCGUCUGAUUAGCUAGUUGGUAAGGUAACGGCUUACCAAGGCGACGAUCAGUAGCCGGACUGAGAGGUUGAUCGGCCACAUUGGGACUGAGACACGGCCCAGACUCCUACGGGAGGCAGCAGUGGGGAAUAUUGCACAAUGGAGGAAACUCUGAUGCAGCGAUGCCGCGUGAGGGAAGAAGGUUUUAGGAUUGUAAACCUCUGUCUUCAGGGACGAAAAAAGACGGUACCUGAGGAGGAAGCUCCGGCUAACUACGUGCCAGCAGCCGCGGUAAUACGUAGGGAGCGAGCGUUGUCCGGAAUUACUGGGUGUAAAGGGAGCGUAGGCGGGAUCGCAAGUCAGAUGUGAAAACUAUGGGCUUAACCCAUAAACUGCAUUUGAAACUGUGGUUCUUGAGUGAAGUAGAGGUAAGCGGAAUUCCUAGUGUAGCGGUGAAAUGCGUAGAUAUUAGGAGGAACAUCAGUGGCGAAGGCGGCUUACUGGGCUUUAAC
rnacentral:rRNA from 1 species